rnacentral:rRNA from 1 species
UACGGGGGGGGCAAGCGUUGUUCGGAAUUACUGGGCGUAAAGGGCUCGUAGGCGGCCAACUAAGUCAGACGUGAAAUCCCUCGGCUUAACCGGGGAACUGCGUCUGAUACUGGAUGGCUUGAGGUUGGGAGAGGGAUGCGGAAUUCCGGGUGUAGCGGUGGAAUGCGUAGAGAUCCGGAAGAACACCGGUGGCGAAGGCGGCCUGCUGGGCAGUAGCUGACGCUGAUGCGCGACAGCGUGGGGAGCAAACAGG